CAUCGGUCCCCCCGCAACGGAAAACUGUGAACCCGGUCAGGCCCGGAAGGGAGCAGCCGCAGCAGUGGACCCGUGUGCCGGGGUGUGGCUGGUGCGG
rnacentral:SRP_RNA from 1 species